UACCCCGAGGAAAAGAAAUCAACCGAGAUUCCCCCAGUAGCGGCGAGCGAACGGGGAGCAGCCCAGAGUCUGAAUCAGCUUGUGUGUUAGUGGAAGCGUCUGGAAAGUCGCACGGUACAGGGUGACAGUCCCGUACACGAAAAUGCACAGGCUGUGAACUCGAAGAGUAGGGCGGGACACGUGGUAUCCUGUCUGAAUAUGGGGGGACCAUCCUCCAAGGCUAAAUACUCCUGACUGACCGAUAGUGAACCAGUACCGUGAGGGAAAGGCGAAAAGAACCCCGGCGAGGGGAGUGAAAAAGAACCUGAAACCGUGUACGUACAAGCAGUGGGAGCACCUUCGGGUGUGACUGCGUACCUUUUGUAUAAUGGGUCAGCGACUUAUAUUCUGUAGCAAGGUUAACCGUAUAGGGGAGCCGAAGGGAAACCGAGUCUUAACUGGGCGUUAAGUUGCAGGGUAUAGACCCGAAACCCGGUGAUCUAGCCAUGGGCAGGUUGAAGGUUGGGUAACACUAACUGGAGGACCGAACCGACUAAUGUUGAAAAAUUAGCGGAUGACUUGUGGCUGGGGGUGAAAGGCCAAUCAAACCGGGAGAUAGCUGGUUCUCCCCGAAAGCUAUUUAGGUAGCGCCUCGUGAACUCAUCUUCGGGGGUAGAGCACUGUUUCGGCUAGGGGGCCAUCCCGGCUUACCAACCCGAUGCAAACUACGAAUACCGAAGAAUGUUAUCACGGGAGACACACGGCGGGUGCUAACGUCCGUCGUGAAGAGGGAAACAACCCAGACC
rnacentral:rRNA from 1 species